UUCCUUGAAAUUUAUUACCUUUAAUUAAUUAUUUAAUAUCAUUUAAAUAUUAAAAAUUAAUAUUAAAAAAUAAUUAAUAAAAUUAAAAAUAAAUAUUUUAUGUUGACAUAUCAAUUAUUAUUUUUAAGAUGGUGGAGCAAGCUCCUCCUUCGUAUCAUGGACUCCGACAGGACACAGUUUUGUCGUUUGGAAUCCACCGGAAUUUGCAAGAAUUCUUCUUCCUACGUAUUUUAAACAAAACAAUUUCUCUAGUUUUAUUCGACAGCUCAACACCUAUGUAUGUAUUUUGACUUUUCUUGAAAUUGGUUCUGCUUAAAAUUGAAUUUUUGGGUUGAUUUUUUCUAUUUUUUGAAAUGGGUUUAGCUUAGAAAUUGAAUCUUGGAAAGGGGUUUUGCUUAAAAAUUGAAUUAUUGAGUUGAAUUUCUGUUUUUUUGAAAUGGGGUUAGCUCAAAAAUUGACUUUUUUGAACUGGGUUUAGCUUAAACAUUGAUUUUUUGAAUUGAGUUUAAAUUAAAAAUUGAAUUGUUGAAAUGGGUUUAGCUUAAAAAUUGAAUUGUUGAAUUAGGUUUAGCUUAAAGAUUGAAUUGUUGAAUUGGGUUUAUCUUAAAGGUUGAAUUCUUGAAAUGGGUUUAGCUUAAAGUUUGAAUUGUUGAAUUGUUAGCUUAAAAAUUGAAUUGUUGAAAUGGGCUUAGCUUAAAUAUUGAAUCUUUGAAUUGAUUUUCUGUAUCUCAAAAUGGGUUCAGCUGAAAAAUUGACAUGAUUUUGCUAUGUUUCUAAAUGGCUUUAGCUUAAAAUUGAAUUUAUUUUCAUUCUAUUCCAAUGGGUUUAGCUGAGAAAUAGGAUCUUUGGAUUGAAGGGUUUAGCUUAAGAAUUUGAUCGUUGAAUUGAUUUUCGUUCUGUAAGAUUGAAGGGUUCAAUGGAAGAAUUGGAUCAUUGAAUUGAUUUUCUAUCUUUCAAAAUGGGUUUACUUGAUAUUGAAUCGUUGAGUUUGUCAUAUUCAAGCCUGAUUUGCUGUGUUUCCACGUUUUUUCGGACAACCGUGGUGUCUGGGCCAGCUUUCGUGCGCCGCAACUAAUUUCAUGGGGUACUUGUUACCUCUCACUAGCAAUAGGUACUAGGUAUCCAUUCUCUUAUUUAUGAUAUUAAUUUUGGUUGAUCCGUAGGUGCGAGAGGCUAGCGUUGGAUGGUUUUAGGCGGGGUAGGGAUAGGCCGAAGAAGUACUGGGGUGAGGUGAUUAGGCGGGACAUGGAACAGUUACAGCUCACCGAGGAUAUGACCCUAAAAUUUAGGAAGGGUUGGAGGGCGCGAAUUUCGGCAGAGGAUUAGGGCCAGUUUGGGUCGUUAGUGUAGGGAGUUACUUGGUGGGGGUUUUAUUCCUGUUAUGAUUCCGUCUUCCGUGUUCCAUGUUUUACUACGAAUCUGUGUGCUUUUCUUUGCUUUUCUCUGUUUUAUAUUACUUAUGGGUGCCGUACUUAUGUUAUGUAAUCUACUUCUGUGCUUUACUAUGUGUUUGUGUGGUAUCUCGUGUCUUGAGCCGGGGGUCUAUCGGAAACAGCCUUUCUACUUCAUCAGAGGUAGAGGUAUGGACUGCGUACAUCUUACCCCCAGACCCCACUAGGUGGGAAUACACUGGGUUUGUUGUUGUUGUUGUUGUCUUCCAAACAGGGAGCAGUAGGAUUGAGGAUGAGAGUGUAUGAUCGUACUGUGUGCUUUGCAAACUUUCACUUUGCUGCACAUUUAGAAGUUGUUGGUCGCCGGAAUGCUGAUUUUGACCAUGUGUAUCGAAGUAUGAUCUUUAGUCGGCCAUUAAACUUUCUCAAUGCUGCAGCUGGCAGAUGUUAUAAUGUCCUUAGCUGGAUCGAAUGGAGGAUCUUGAUCAACAAAGUAUGCUCCAAAACCUGCAGCAAGGUCAUCAACUGGAGAAAAUUAUUCGCCUAAAGCAGAGAAUGAGACAACCAACGACAGUAACUUAGCUCUAAUAAGAGAGUUCCAUGGCAGGUCAUCUGGCAAAGCAGGUUUCACCGACGGUAUUGGUUCUGGUGAUCACAUUUCCAUCCCUCAAGGUGAUUCUGGAGGCGAAUAGCUAGGUAUGGGGGACAAGAGGAUGCUCAUGAAUUCUUGCGCUAUGUCAUUGACCCCAACCACAAUUCGUGUUUGCGGGUGAAGAAGUUGCAGUAGUAGAGAAGAAAGGGUGAUGGAGGUGGUAUUGAUGGGAAUAGGAAUACCUUUGUUAAGGAUAUCUUUGGGGUUGCUCUACAUAGCCAAGUGCUUGGCAUAUGGUGCAGAGUCAAAUAAGGUGGACGAGAUCAUGGAUAUAAGUCUUGAUGUGUUGCACAAUAGCUCACUGAACGAUGCUCUGCAGAAAUUUUUUCAGCCUGAGGUUUUGGAUGGAAACAAUAAGUACAAGUGUGAGAGGUAAGUAUUAUACUUUUUCCUUUUCCCUUAGUUUGUAUUAUAUGAUAAAUCUGUUGUUUCAAGUUCCUUGUUGGGCAUUCCUUGUUUACAGGUAAAUUUUGUAUCUGUUUAGUAAUAUUCAUUUGGAAUUGUGGCAUUGUUGGUUGACUGAUUGACGCAGCAAAAAAUAAGUUGGCUUUCCAAUACUUUGUUGGUUAAAUUGCAGUUGAGGUAGUUUAAGAGCAAUAUUUUGGCUCCUGGAAGAUUGCAAUUUGACAAAUCGAAACACUUUUCCCAGGAGGAGAUGGGAGUGCUACGUUAGAAAGAUAGUUGAUCUUAUAAUAGCGGAGUCACUCUUUUCGUGGCAAGGUGGUCUUAUCAUUUUGUUGCAGGUUAUGAAGGUUCUUAUCCUAAAUCACUAAUUAGAAUAUCAGUAUCUGUAUGUCUAAUAACUGCACUUUAUUAGUUUGACAAAUAGGAAUUAUUCUGGCAAUACUGCUCGAAAUCAUUGACAUGAACGAGUUACUUCAUUGAACGAGUUGCAUAAAACUAGUAUUUAGAAGUUCUAUGCAAAUAUGCAGACAUAUUUCUUGAGUUUCUUUUGUAAAAGUUAAGCCGGUGUAGAAACUGAUCAAUUUGUAUCUCACUUUAAAAUUUUUAAAAAUAUAACUCUUUAUCAUGUAGAACAAAUACAGUCAAUUGAAUUUUCAAGUUAACCAAACACAUGAACUGUGGGAAACUGAUUUGAUAUGAACAAGCCCUGGUUUCCUAAACAUUUUGGAUUAAGUUUAUUAAUUUGAAAGCAGCAGUGAGUUCUCCCUGAUCUAUUUAUCUCUCCUGUUAUUAUUAGUCCUUUUUAGGGCCAGGUAUUUUACUUUUUCUUUAUCUUGUUAUGUUAUAGAAUUUUUCUUUUAACAGAUAGAUACUUGCAAUACAUACUAUUGUGAUGGAUUCACACCAAAUUCUGGGAAGAAACCGAAAAUCUGGACCGAGAAUUGGGAUGGAUGGUAUGGUAAUUGCUUCUUGUUUGUUAGAUCUUUCGUGGUCAUUUCACUAAAUUCUGAACCAAUAUGCGCAUGGUUCCAGGAAACCUUAGGUUCUUGUUAGUGUUAUGAGUAUAUGAUCUCUAAUGUGUGAGUUGACUUCUCUCUUACUCAUGAACAAAAAGCAACAUUUCUUUGGUUGCAUUGCCGGAGUUUUGAGUCCGGUGUUGAUAUACUUCCUACCACAUUCAGAUAAUCACAUCACCUGUGAUGUUGAAUUCUCGUUCUUUAUUAUACUCUUCUUAAUAGGUUGUUCUUUCCCUUUGUCUGCAUAAUCAGUUAGCUUUUGAGUUUGUCAAACAUAUUGUACAUAUACUAGAGCUCCGAUCAGAUUUGGUAGACAGCUAAGUUUCAGACUUUGUUUUAUACACUGAACAAAUUCUUGGCCCUCUGAUUUUGAAUUUAGGACCCUUCUCUCUAUUUCUUUGUAAUUCAAUAUUAAAAUCUCUACUGUAUAGAGUAUUAGGUACCUUCUUUACUCCUUAAAAUCCAUGACGCCUGAAUUGGCUGAUCAGCGUUCAUUUCAUUAGUUUUUUUGUUUGUUUUUGUUAACCUUGAAUAGGAUCUGACUCAUACUCCCCCCUCUCAAAGUUGUUUUCCCCUUCACUAUUUUCUGUUUUAUGGAAUGAAAAUUGGUAAGUGGGACGUAAAAGUUAGUUAUAUCCUUUUCUGCUCCUGCUCUUGGGUAAGUUGCCUAUUGAACAUUCCUCUGAAUGCGUCUAAUUAGUUCUCCUAAGUGGUUGUUCCAAAUGUUAUUCUGCUAAAAGUUUCAUUUUGCCUGUGGAGAUUGUUGUCGUACCUGGCUUUUGACAAGGUAAGUUAUUUCUCUUUUACAAUGGGACGCUCUUUUCUUUUUAAGAAUGAUCUUAAGUUCUGUAUCUAACCCUUGCUGUGUUGUCGUACCUGGCUUUUGACAAAGGUAAGUUAUUUCUCUUUUACAAUGGGACGCUCUUUUCUUUUUAAGAAUGAUCUUAAGUUCUGUAUCUAACCCUUGCUGUGUGUAUUACUUAUAAAUUUUGUUUGCUCUUUUAUUCUAUACAGGACCUUGUUUGGAGUUUGAAGAAUAUUGUUUAAGAGGCUGCUCUCUAUGUUUUCUAGUUUGUAGCUUUAUUUACCUAUUAAGGGCAUAUCUUACUCAUUCUUCUCAAGCGGCUUUGACCAUGCUGUUUUGUUGAACCAUGUAAAUCUGAUCUCUGAAUAAGGAUUAAACAAACGUAGAAAUUAGGGAAAGCUUAGAGAAGUCCAGUGCCAGUGAAGUCUAAAACGUAGAUACGUAGAAAUGUCUAAUUUACAUGGAAAUUGAAGUCUGAUAUUUCUGGGAAAUUUUUUUGCUCUGCAAAAGACAGGUAAUAGACAGAAAUGACCUGAUCGAGCUUCUUCCUUAUGUUGAGAAGCUUUCUUAUGCAGGUUCUUAAAGUUCAAGGACUUCAGGCUUUUCCUUGUCUAUAACAAGGGUGUUAUUUGUUUGUCUGUAGUGGUAACAUGCUAUUUGAUAUUUUAUUUUUUGAACUUGCAGUGACUUGAACAAUCAUGAAUCUACAAGGGUAUUCAAGAAAUCAUCAGAAAGUUAAAGAACUUUGUUUCAGCUGGAUCACUUGCAACUUUACGAAAAAAACAAAUGCUAGAACACAAGAAGAAGAAGAAUACAGGCUACAUAGAAUUUCUUGAAACUUAUCGCGACUAGAACUUGAUACUAUAUAAAAACUUAACUAAUCAUUUGAGUACUUAACAUACAUUUUGCUUUUGGAUUUAGAUUACUGGUUUAAUUUGUUCCAUAUUUUGGAUUAUGUGAUUAUUAAUGAAUGAUUUUGUUUUAUGAUGUGUUUAUAAUUGUCUAUUGUAAUUUAUUGUGUAUGUAAAUACUACAUAGUUAACUAAUCAUUUGAGUACUUAACAUACAUUUUGCUUUUGGAUAUAGAUUACUAGUUUAAUUUGUUCCAUAUUUUGGAUUAUGUGAUUAUUAAUGAAUGAUUUUGUUUUA